CUGCUGCCUUCCGUAGGAGUUUGGACCGUGUCUCAGUUCCAAUGUGGGGGACCUUCCUCUCAGAACCCCUAUCCAUCGAUGCCUUGGUGGGCCGUUACCCCGCCAACAAGCUAAUGGAACGCAUCCCCAUCGAUGACCGAAAUUCUUUAAUAGUUCUACCAUGCGGAAGAACUAUGCCAUCGGGUAUUAAUCUUUCUUUCGAAAGGCUAUCCCCGAGUCAUCGGCAGGUUGGAUACGUGUUACUCACCCAUGCGCCGGUCGCCA
rnacentral:rRNA from 1 species